rnacentral:rRNA from 1 species
AAACCGUCCAGGGGUAAACCUGCGAAACUCGAAUGAACGAACGGAGAGAUUCAUCGUCUAUCCGCGGUGCGCCGGUGCGGGUUCGCGAUGUCCUCGGUCUCGGCCGUGGGGCACCGCUCGCAUCGGUAUACAGUAUCCGCGGACGGCGUGCACUUCUCUCUCAGUAAUACAUCGCGACCCGUUCGGUGUCGGUCUAAGUGCCUCUCGGGAGUCUUGCGUUACCGGUGCCUCGUGCAUUGCGUGCGUUCAGACCGAUGAGGUUUCACACCGACCGGCUGCCGGACGGUAGAUCGAAAGAAACGCUCACGCGCUCACUCGUUGGGGCGCGUCCGGCCCGACGCAAGGUAACGUCGUAUCCUCCCGCCUCCUGCCCGAGUGCGGUGGCGGGUGCGGCGCGCCUGUCGUCGCAGCCGUGCUGUCUCGGACCGUGUGCGUAUC